GACGAACGCUGGCGGCGUGCUUAACACAUGCAAGUCGAACGGAAAGGCCCUGCUUUUGUGGGGUGCUCGAGUGGCGAACGGGUGAGUAAAACGUGAGUAACCUGCCCUUGACUUUGGGAUAACUUCAGGGAACUGGGGCUAAUACCGGAUAGGAGCUCCUGCUGCAUGGUGGGGGUUGGUAAGUUUCGGCGGUUGGGGAUGGACUCGCGGGUUAUCAGCUUGUUGGUGGGGUAGUGGCUUACCAAGGCUUUGACGGGUAGCCGGCCUGAGAGGGUGACCGGCCACAUUGGGACUGAGAUACGGCCCAGACGCCUACGGGAGGCAGCAGUGGGGAAUAUGGCACAAUGGGCGGAAGCCUGAGGCAGCAACGCCGCGUGCGGGAUGACGGCCUUCGGGUUGUAAACCGCUUUCGCCUGUGACGAAGCGUGAGUGACGGUAAUGGGUAAAGAAGCACCGGCUAACUACGUG
rnacentral:rRNA from 1 species